rnacentral:lncRNA from 1 species
UGGGCAAUAUGUUUUACAGAUAUAUUUUGUCCAUUUCCAUUGGUAGCGACCAGUGCUCUGGAAUAAAAGAACUGUGGCAGAAUUUCCCACCUGAGAAGCCAAUGAAAGGGAGAGAAAAAUAUUAGAAACAUAUUCAUCCAAGAUGCUUUCAUGGUUUAUGGCUAAUAUGUAUCCUGCUAGAAAAUUUACACCAGGCUGUCAUACAUCGCCAUCAAAUGGAGAAGAAUUCUGGGAAGCUUGCCUGAGUAUCAUACUGCAGGAGAUUCUGAUUAGCACAUACUAACAUUCGAAUGAUUCAUGGAAUGUGGGAAGAACUGAAGUAGACAUGCUUCUCAACAGAGCCUUAAAACUCAAAAGACUUGUUUCUGACCGAACCGAAAAGGGGAUUUUAACAUCGAAGAAGGAGCCUAUCAACUACAGCCCACCAGCCUUCUUUGAUAUGAAAACUGCAAUGAGAACUCUGCCAGUCUUCAUGUGUCAAGAGAUAAUUGCUUGAGACAGAAAGCAGAGCCAUAGCUGCUUGUACUGAACAAUUUCACUGGAGCCCAUUUUCUCAGAGUCGUCUCCCUGCAUUCUCUAAAGUCUCUUCCCAAAGAAAUACAAAAAAUAUUUUGUUAAUGUCACCAAGAAAGUCAUCAAUUCUUCCCUCUAAGCUGAACAACAUAUAAUACUGACAAAAGAGUGCUUUAAACCUGAACAAGUUUGUGAACCAUCAACAUGUUUCUUCACCUUCCUAUUAUAAGACUCUAUUUUCUUCCUGAUCCCAAAACAAAAGAAUGUAAAUGAAGUUUACAUUCAAGAGAUGUAGGGAAGAAUUUCAGCUACUCCUGCACAUUGUGUGGCCAUUCAAAUCCAGUAACACUUAUUCUGAGCUCCUGUGGAAAAUAUCUGGAAAGCUUGUCCUUCCUGCCCUAUUAAAUGAUGAAAGAUGUUGCCUACGAAAAUUGAGGUUGGAAAGAAGAAAUGUCAACUGCAG